AGUCCCGCAACGAGCGCAACCCUUAUCCUUUUUUGCCAGCGGUCCGGGUGGGGACUCCACGGAGGCUGCCAGUGAUAAACUGGAGGAAGGUGGGGAUGACGUCAAGUCAUCAUGGCCCUUACGAGUAGGGCUACACACGUGCUACAAUGGCGCAUGGCAAGAGGCGCGGACUCGCGGGGGCAAACCGACCCCCCAAAAGCCAUCGUAGUCCGGAAUGCACUCUGCAACUCGACUCCAUGAAGUCGGAAUCGCUAGUAAUCGUGAUCA
rnacentral:rRNA from 1 species